rnacentral:misc_RNA from 1 species
GGGGGAUCGGGGAGGCGGCGUCGGUGGCGCAGUGUAGGAGGAUGAUCAAGGGCGUGGAUCGGGACGGGGAUGGGAUGAUCAGCUUCGAGGAGUUCAAGGACAUGAUGCAGGCGUCGGGGCUUGGAUCGGCGAUCGCCGCCGCCGUCACCGCCGGCGACAAGAUCUGAGAAGUUUAAUUAACUCUGUGAUUGAUUUCGAGAUUGGGACGCGUCCUCUCUUUUGAGUGAACGAGGAG